rnacentral:rRNA from 1 species
GACGAGGGGUCCUAGCGUUGUUCGGAAUCACUGGGCGUAAAGCGCAUGUAGGCGGCUUAGUAAGUCGGGUGUGAAAGCCCUGGGCUCAACCCAGGAAGUGCAUCCGAUACUGCCGAGCUUGAGUAUGAGAGAGGGUAGUGGAAUUCCUGGUGUAGUGGUGAAAUACGUAGAUAUCAGGAGGAACACCGGUGGCGAAGGCGGCUACCUGGCUCAAUACUGACGCUGAGAUGCGAAAGCGUGGGGAUCAAACAGG